ACUAGAUUGAUAUAUUGUUGGAUUAAUUCUAUUAGUAUUCCUAUGUUGCUUGCAUAGUUACAUACUUAUUGUUGAAGAAGCUAGCAAUAAGGAGCCCCAUUUUUUGUUGUCGCCUAGAGCCUUGAAAUUGUCAGGGCCGGCCCUGUCCAUCACAUAUGGUAUCAUAACCAUACCAGGUUAUUCCCUUAAAACCUGAAUAAAAUUCCGACAUUACCGUAACACAUAUAGCAACACCAUUACAGCCACACCAUAACAUAUACACACCCAAGUAAACUUUAGCUCAAGAGCUCCAGAAUAUCAUUAACUUGUCCACUUAUGGAUCACCUGAAAACAACAUCAAGAAUAUAGGGAAUGAGCUUCACAAGCUCAGUUGGUACGACAUAAUAAUCGUUAUAACUAAGAUUAUAAACCAGCAACUACAUCUGAAAUGUGAAGGAUAGUAGAGAUGCUUCGAAUGUACUUUUAAAUGAGAAAAAGAAUAUGGCUGCAAACAAAUUUGGAAUUAAGCUUGAGAAACAAAUGCCAACCAUUAAUUGAACCAAGCACAAAUGAUAACAUGGAAUUAUUAGGUUGCAACUGACCAAGCAACUCAGAUCAAAAGAGCAGACAACUGAAUAGGAAGGAAUCAAGGACAGAUCAUGACAAUCCAAAAUUACUUUACUGCAAACAGGCCAAUCAAUUCCGAAUCCAAAUCAAUAGAUAACUAAACAAAAGAAGGAUCAAAGAAUAGAUUACGACAUAGAACCAAUUAUUUCAGAUAAAAUGAAUAGUCUGAUACACAGGAAAGGAAGAGAUAACUGAAAUUCAAGAUUUUCUCGAUAGACACUCAACAUAAUGGGAGGACAAAGUUGUAGUAAAGCAACAAAACCAGAGCAAUCUCUUUGAUUUACUUUUCUUUCUUUUUUCAAAUCAGAAAUCUUUCCUUUCCUUUUCCAAAACAGUGUGUAAUACUCUUUUCCAUAAAUCAAACUUCAGCGAAAUCCUUGAAAAACCGGUUAGAGCCCACCGCCUAGCUAUACCAUUGAGCAAACCCCGCACAUGCGGUAUCCUGAUCAGGUUUUGGGUCUAUGCACCCCAGGGAGUCAUAAUCCCUACUUAACUUUAAACCGGGCCUAACCAUAAAAAAACAAAUAACCCUAAAUCUGGUCUUUCCAUGAAACACUUUGCUUUUCCAAACCAAAUUAGUCAUCCAAGGAUUUCAAAAGAAACUGAAAUGCUCUUAAAUAGUGAAGUGAAGUCUGUCAAAAAGUCAUUCUUUAUAUCGAACAACUUGCUGAGGGAAUAAAGCUUUAGUAACUCAGAAACUUUGUAAAUCAUAUCAGUAAAAAUACUUAAGUUUGAGAUAUCAAAACAAUACAAGCUAGCUUUGAUAUAAACAUACUUUUGAAGAGGAACAUGAAAGCAGAUGAGAUUAAAAACCACCAAAGUGAUAGUAGGACAUAUACUAAUUGGAUUUCCAAUAAGAACUUAACAAGUGAGAAUAAAUAGCGGCAUAAAUCAUAAAUCAAUGGACCUUAAUAAAUAAAGAGGAUGAGGUUUAUAGGAAAUUGAACAUGAGGAUUUGUAGAAGCACAACAAAGCUCAUAGAUAACAGGUAUAAUUCAAAGUGAGUAGAGAUGUUGUUCUGAAGAAGAACUUUAGACAAAUGAACUCUAUACAUAAAUGAAACACAGCAUAAGAAAUAAGAAAUAGAUUGAAGCAUAGCAAUACCAAAUUUUAUUUGUAAGGACGAAGUAUUACUCGGCUUUGAGACUAGAUCGAGAUUACCAGAAUCAGCAAGGUACUGGAGAUGAAUUUAGUAACAACAUUGAGAGAUUCUUUACUGCAAUUAAAGUCUAGUAAACAGAGGAAAAGAGGAUGAUCUUCCGAUUUAGUAAAACAAGAAAUAGUAUGUCACGGGAGUAAAAAUCUACUCUGCUGCAAUCUACAUUCUUGUAAUAAAAGAAGAAGAACAAAGAAAUUACAGAUAUGGGUAUUCAUAAGUUCUCAACAGAUGAGCAAAGAGGCUAAUUGACAAUGGGCCAUACGUUAAGAACUUCACAAGUAGGAUACCUUAUCAGAAUUGGAUUUAUGGAACAAUGACUCACAUGAUCUUGUCAACAUGUAAACCUUGUUAAGAGGAGAUAGAAUAAGAAAGAUAAGAAAACAAGGUCUACCGUAUGUGGUUUAUUGGAAGAAAACAAUGAUAGGAACAAUAAUUCUUUCAGUCUGCAUGAAAAGUUCCAGCAACUUCCAAAUGACAUAGCAUGUCCAAAGACCACACAGAUUUAUAUUAAACAAAUUGAUGAUCAAAUAUUCUAUGAAUUUCAAUCAACAAUACCCAAAGGGGAUCAUGUUUAGCAAUGAGGAUUCUGAUAUGAACCAAAUAUAUGAAUGAGGUAUGGCACAACUAGACAUCAAGAAUAGAUCAAGAAAUAAACUCUCAAGUGUAGCCAAAUAAUCACAAAGCACUAUAUUAAACAAGAAUACUUGUUACCACGAACAAGAUGGUAACUACGAAUUUAUAACAAUAUCAACAAAAAGGAUUAAGAACCCAAAGAAACAUCAUAUCGAUGAACUCAGUAGGAAUCAAUUUGAUAAGCUAACUGUUCUUCUCAAGAUAAAUUUAAGAACAUCAAUACUCCAAGGAGGAACAUAUAUAUCAACAAGCAUCUCAUCAAAUAAAGAAGGAGAACAAAUGAACAGAGGAGAUGCGCAUAGUUACCAAUACUCAACUCGACAAAACCAGAUUCAUAGAGGAACCAAACAAUCACACCCAAACAUAGAUACUAGAAUAGAAUCAAAGCUAUAAAGAAAAUUAUGCUUUCCCUACCUCAAAUCAAGCAACUGGCAGCCAAAAUCUCCAAGCACACAAGCAUCCAAUACCCAUGGCAUACGCAAUCCAAGCUUAAAAGCAAACACUCAUCUACCAUAGCAAUCCACUCUAUAUCAUAGCAAUCCAGCCGUCUAACAAAGGAAUUUUAGGUACCAAUUAAAACUCACAUCUAUUGGGAAAUAGAUGAAAUAAGAACGUUUGACAAAGAACUAAAAUUUUACAGGAAUUCAAGCUUUGUCUUACUGGAGAAAUCAGAUUCUCAAGCAAUAGAACUAGCAGUACUCUUUUGAUAGAUAUUGUUUGGGCGUAAGUGAAGGGAGUUCAAUUUGUCAAGAACGAGAAAGAAGAGAAAAGAUAAGAGGAAGAAACACUGACAGGUUAUGUUAGAGAAGAAUCGGUAAGGAACACUUGGAGAGAGAGACAAUUUGGCAACGUGUUCCCUUCUAGAUGAGCAUUAGAUACUUCUAGAGCCAAUUAGACACUUAUGAGACAAAAUAAAAUAAAAGUGAUGAAGAAUAAAGUGUAGAGACAAAGAGAUAGCAAGAGAGUCAUCUUAUUCAUUGAUAGGAGCCCUUUAUAUAGGGAAUUACACAAUACCAAUAUGGUAAGGAUAUGAAUACAUAGAUCUAGUCUAACUACAUAUCUUAUUGGCAUAAGGCCAAGGCACACAUAGAGAAUAUCCUAGAACACUCCCCCUUGUGCCGCGCGCUGAUAUGCCGNNN
rnacentral:lncRNA from 1 species